AAGUCGUAACAAGGUUUCCGUAGGUGAACCUGCGGAAGGAUCAUUACCAAUUCGACCUUGGGUUUGGAAAACGUUGAAAAACGCUUUCUGAAUUCCAUCCAACCAACCUUUGAUUGUGAACAAGAAUUCAAAAAAGUCUUUUCUGCAAAAACACACAUUCGUGUGGGAUUGCAGGGGAGCAAUUUUAUCCAACCCCACUUAAAUCCGCACCGCGCGUGUGGAAAAAGCAAGCGUUGAGCUCCGAAACUGAAAAAAACACAAAAUGUCAUGUACAACUUUUAACGGCGGAUCUCUUGGCUCGU
rnacentral:misc_RNA from 1 species